CGAUUGAACGCUGGCGGCAGGCCUAACACAUGCAAGUCGAGCGGUAGAGAGGCGCUUGCACCUCUUGAGAGCGGCGGACGGGUGAGUAAUGCCUAGGAAUCUGCCUAGUGGUGGGGGAUAACGUUCGGAAACGGACGCUAAUACCGCAUACGUCCUACGGGAGAAAGCGGGGGACCUUCGGGCCUCGCGCCAUUAGAUGAGCCUAGGUCGGAUUAGCUAGUUGGUGAGGUAAUGGCUCACCAAGGCGACGAUCCGUAACUGGUCUGAGAGGAUGAUCAGUCACACUGGAACUGAGACACGGUCCAGACUCCGUACGGGAGCAGCAGGUGGGGAAUAUUGGACAAGUGGGACGAAAGCCUGAAUCCGAGCCAUCGCCGCGUGUGAGAAGGUAGGGUCUUUACGGAUUAGUAAAGCGUAACGUUUUAAGGUUAGGGAAGGUAAAGGGUUUA
rnacentral:rRNA from 1 species